CCCAAACUCGCCCUUCCACGCCGGGCCUCAAGGUGCUCUGUGGACCACAGCGGGGCCCGGGGCCCUCGCGAGGGAGGGAAGAGUUCGCUCCAGGUCCCCGCGAUUCCCCCGGAAAGUGAAACUGCAGAGGUGUUGCGUGGACACCCGCGGUCAGACACGACCCCAGGCCGCGCGGGCCCCAGAGGAAGCGAGCGCGAGUCCGCGGUGGUGGCUGGGCGCUCAGUGAGGACGCCAUUCCGCCACGAAAACGCCCGCGACGCCGCUGGCCCCUGCGCGGUGGGGCGAGGUAGGCUGGCCGGACCUGCGAAGCCCGACGAGCCCGGCGCCGGCUGGCUGCAGCUUGCUCUGCCUCCCUGGCCUGGCCCCGAGGCUCCCGCGAGCCGGGAUCCGCGAACACCGGGGCCGAACCGACUCUCUCGGGCCUCAGACGGCGUGGACCCUGGAAGGCCCCAGUUCGGCCGCUUCCCCGGAAGUCCCCCAGU
rnacentral:lncRNA from 1 species